rnacentral:rRNA from 1 species
GACGAACGCUGGCGGCGUGCUUAACACAUGCAAGUCGAACGGAAAGGCCCUGCUUUUGUGGGGUGCUCGAGUGGCGAACGGGUGAGUAACACGUGAGUAACCUGCCCUUGACUUUGGGAUAACUUCAGGAAACUGGGGCUAAUACCGGAUAGGAGCUCCUGCUGCAUGGUGGGGGUUGGAAAGUUUCGGCGGUUGGGGAUGGACUCGCGGCUUAUCAGCUUGUUGGUGGGGUAGUGGCUUACCAAGGCUUUGACGGGUAGCCGGCCUGAGAGGGUGACCGGCCACAUUGGGACUGAGAUACGGCCCAGACUCCUACGGGAGGCAGCAGUGGGGAAUAUUGCACAAUGGGCGGAAGCCUGAUGCAGCAACGCCGCGUGCGGGAUGACGGCCUUCGGGUUGUAAACCGCUUUCGCCUGUGACGAAGCGUGAGUGACGGUAAUGGGUAAAGAAGCACCGGCUAACUACGUGCCAGCAGCCGCGGUGAUACGUAGGGUGCGAGCGUUGUCCGGAUUUAUUGGGCGUAAAGGGCUCGUAGGUGGUUGAUCGCGUCGGAAGUGUAAUCUUGGGGCUUAACCCUGAGCGUGCUUUCGAUACGGGUUGACUUGAGGAAGGUAGGGGAGAAUGGAAUUCCUGGUGGAGCGGUGGAAUGCGCAGAUAUCAGGAGGAACACCAGUGGCGAAGGCGGUUCUCUGGGCCUUUCCUGACGCUGAGGAGCGAAAGCGUGGGGAGCGAACAGGCUUAGAUACCCUGGUAGUCCACGCUGUAAACGGUGGGUACUAGGUGUGGGGUCCAUUCCACGGGUUCCGUGCCGUAGCUAACGCUUUAAGUACCCCGCCUGGGGAGUACGGCCGCAAGGCUAAAACUCAAAGGAAUUGACGGGGCCCCGCACAAGCGGCGGAGCAUGCGGAUUAAUUCGAUGCAACGCGUAGAACCUUACCUGGGUUUGACAUGGAUCGGGAGUGCACAGAGAUGGGUGUGCCUCUUUUGGGGUCGGUUCACAGGUGGUGCAUGCCUGUCGUCAGCUCGUGUCGUGAGAUGUUGGGUUAAGUCCCGCAACGAGCGCAACCCUUGUUCACUGUUGCCAGCACGUUAUGGUGGGGACUCAGUGGAGACCGCCGGGGUCAACUCGGAGGAAGGUGGGGAUGACGUCAAGUCCUCAUGCCCCUUAUGUCCAGGGCUUCACGCAUGCUACAAUGGCUGGUACAGAGAGUGGCGAGCCUGUGAGGGUGAGCGAAUCUCGGAAAGCCGGUCUCAGUUCGGAUUGGGGUCUGCAACUCGACCUCAUGAAGUCGGAGUCGCUAGUAAUCGCAGAUCAGCAACGCUGCGGUGAAUACGUUCCCGGG